rnacentral:lncRNA from 1 species
GGCAGGAUUAAAAAACUGAUUGCUCGUACAUGAUGUGCAAUUCUAGUAGUUAAGAGACGAGUAAUAUCGAGAAAUCUAUAUGAUGUCUCGAAAGAUCCAUCCUUCUUUUAGUUUCAUCGUGAAAGCAAACCACCAGGAUUAUAAUUUGAGCAACGCAAUAUUCUGGACCAUGGUAACUUGACACCUUUUUACCUUGUGACUGAGGUUUCAGCUCCAUCAUGUGAACAAUGUGUUGAACUA